GCCAUUAAAUUUAUAUUAAAUUUUUAUUCAAUAUUUAUUGCUUAGUUCGAAAUCAAAGAAAAACUUGAAUUUUGAGAUAGGUGCCUUACUUGAUUUUUUUAUUUUAUUUUGUACUCAUUUCUUAAAUCAAAAUUUUUAUCGAUACGUAGAAUGUGGGCCAAGUAGCGGGGCUAGCACGCCGACCACCGAGCGGCCUGCGUAAGUACCUAUACGUUUUUUACACAUCACAUUAACAUAUUUUUAUGCGUUAAUUUUUUUGAUAUAUAUUAUUAAAUAUCUGUUUUAUUUUUCAGAAGUCUGGGUCACGUAUCGAAGAAAGCUCGACGUGAAUUGUAAGUUCAUCUCUGUAUACUACCAAUAUAGAAUAUAAAAUAACCAUAAAAAAUAAUUACUAGCAUUGAUUUAAAUAUUCUUUCUAUUUUGUAGAAUCCUUUCGUCCUCUUCGUCCUCUAGACCUCUUCGCGACGAAGAGAUUUUGGCAUUGCUCAAUUACGGCAGCGAAGAAGAGUCGGAGGAAGAGGAGGACGAGGAGACUAUGCAGCGGCCGCCGGUGCCGCACUCGACCAGGAUGUGGUUAGACGAAGAGGAUGAGGAAGUUGAAAGAGGUGAAGAGAGGAUCCCUUCUCUCCCGAGAGAUGACAUUAUAGAGCAACCUCUUCGUCUAUCCACAUCCACCUCACCGACGGCUCUUUCGCCCUCUGUGGCGCUAGGGCCAACUAAUAAAUUUAUUUUUGAAUGGAGAACGGCGCCAAUGCCUCCAAUCGAACCUGACUUAAGGCGAGAACCGUUCUCCCAAAUUAGUGGUCCAAAGGUUUCUUUUGCGACUCCGUAUGAUGCAUUCAUUGCCAUAUGGGAUCGUAUAUACAUAGUCAGGUCAUAAGUAUUGUCACACAGUAAAAACUUUUCUUUUAGAAUGCUGGCCACAAAAAAGUUUAUUGAAUUCGAAUUUCGAAUGGUUCAUGAAAAUAAAAAUAGUAUACAUUUAGAAUUUUACUCAUUUUUAAAUAUGGAGUGGACGCUUAAAGAAGACCGUGUUGCAGUUAUUGCGUUGCAUCGUGGCAGUUACGCGCCAAUUCAAAUUUUUAACAUACUGAAAAAUUUGAAUAUAGCCAAAAGAUUCGUUUAUCGUACCAUCUAACGGUACAAUGAAGACUCUAGUGUAGAUGACAGGUCAAGAAGUGGUCGCCCUCGGUCUGUCAGGACUCCAGCAGUGAUAAAAGCUGUGAAGGCGCGAAUUCAAAGAAAUCCCAAACGUAAGCAGAAACUGUUGGCCCUUCAGAUGGGGUUAAGCAGAACCACGGUGAAAAGGGUGUUAAAUGAAGAUUAGGGCUUCGGGCAUAUUGAAGAAAAACAGGAAAUCGUUUGAAUGCUCGUCUAAUGGACCUGAGACUGAAGAGAUGCCGCGCUUUGUUGAAGCGGUACGCGGGAAAAAAAUAUCGGGAAAUUCUUUUUUCGGAUGAAAAAAAUUUUACCGUAGAAGAGAGCUACAACAAAAAAUAUGAUAAGGUGUACGCACACAGUAAUGAAGAAGCGAGCAACCGUAUUCCGCGUGUCCAACGAGGUCAUUUUCCAUCCUGGCUUAUGGCAUGGUUGGGAGUUUCUUAUUGGGGCUUAACAGAGGUACAUUUUUGUGAGAAAGGUGUAAAAACGAAUGCAGUUGUGUAUCAAAAUACAGUCCUGACGAACCUUGUGGUACCUGUUUCUCAUACCAUGUUCAAUAACAGACACUGGGUAUUCCAACAAGAUUCGGCGCCAGUUCAUAGAGCGAAGAGCACACAAGACUAGCUGGCGGCGCGUGAAAUCGACUUCAUCCGGCACGAAGACUGGCCCUCCUCCAGUCCAGAUUUGAAUCCGUUAGAUUACAAGAUAUGGCAACACUUGGAGGAAAAGGCGUGCUCAAAGCCUCAUCCCAAUUUGGAGUCACUCAAGACAUCCUUGAUUAAGGCAGCCGCCGAUAUUGACAUGGACCUCGUUCGUGCUGCGAUAGACGACUGGCCGCGCAGAUUGAAGGCCUGUAUUCAAAAUCACGGAGGUCAUUUUGAAUAAACUAAAGUUUAUUCAAAAUGUCAUAAGAAUCUAUGUUUUGUUAAGUUCAUUUUGGUAUUUGAAUGGUUACAUAAUGAAUAAACUUGUUUCAAUUAUUUUACAUUAAACAUGUGACAGAAUUAUGACCUGACUAUGUAUAAGUCAAGAAAUUCGAAAAAAAGAACGAACACAAAUCAUAAUGUUUAAUAAACACAUCUAUACUUAAUUAGCACCCGUGAGCGCACUUGUUAUUUUUUCACUAUUUUUAAGAUUUUAUGUUUAAGAUUUUAUGUUAUUAUUAGCUUUAAGUUUUUUCUUUUCUUAUAUUUUAUCUUUAUCUUUUCGGCGCCCGGAAUAUGUUCGGUGUAAUACGGCCGAACAUCUUAGUAAGCUAUAACGCCACACUGCACGCUUAUUUAAAGUUGCAGUUGAACAGUAGUAACAGUCGUGCAACAACCCGGUUACGCGGAAGUUGGCUCUGGUCCUCGCGACCGUAACAUUUAACAUUUACAUUUAGUAAUUAAAACAUUAACAUAUAACAAUAACAUUUAGAGCAUUGAACAUUUGUACAACCUCGAACAUUUGUAGAACAUAGAACAUUUAUAAGUGAUUGUGAAUUAAAGUGAGUUAGUAAAAUCCAGACUUAUCAUUGGUAAACAACUACUGCAAAUCAGCUCUGUGCCCCCACAAGAUGAAACUUGGAUUAACGCAGGUAAGGCUAGCAUUUAUACAUAAAAUGAAUUUAUAUACAUUUAAACAUUAAAUUUAAUAGUAAUAUUGAAUGUUCAUGUACUAUAUUUAUUUUAAGGUCAUACUGUAAAAAAAACUUGGGUGGACAAGAAAGUCACAUCAUCUCGACAAGCGUUUUUGGAGGGACUGACCACUGGAUUAAAAAAUCCAUCUGGAAAAGGCAAACGUUUUAUAAUUAGCCAUAUAGGUAGUAAAGAAGGCUUCCUGGAAGAGGGGCUCAUGAUUUUUGAAGCUAAGAAAAAUUGUGAAGAUUACCAUGAUGAGAUGAAUGAAGUUUGUUUUGAAGAGUGGUUCGCUGCAGUCUUACCAAAAUUAAGACCAAACUCAAUUGUGGUGAUGGAUAAUGCACCUUACCACUCCCGAAAAUUGGAAACGGCAUCAAAAAUGAGCUGGAAAAAAGCUGCCAUUCAAUAUUGGCUUUUAAAUAAAAAUAUUCAUUACGAACCAGAUAUGGUUAAAGCUACGCUUUUAGAACUGAUUCCACAUAACGAGUCUUUUAACACUAGAUUUACCAGACCAGUCAUUUUAACUGGUCGUGCAACUUCAAUUCAAAAUUACUACUACAUUAAAUAUUUGCUUUCCAAAAUGAUGUUAUAACUUUUGUAGGUAUAAGUAGAGAAUACAUUUUAUGAACUUAAUUUUACUUUAUAUAAUGUUAGUAACAAAUAUAUUUUUUGUUAUAACUAUUUAUACCAGAACCAGUCAAAAUGACUGGUGCAUGUUUCUAGAAAGAAAUGUAUGAUUUCGGGAGAAGCAUGAGACCGUGAAAAUACAAAUAGUGCCCAUGCUUCUUUUGUUCAUUACGUUAUCGUUAUCGAGCCGAUUUAGGCGAUUACGGUAUCUAUACGAUUUUUUUACGAGUACUUAGUCCAAGCGAUCUCCAAACGUAAUCAUUCAUCUUUACCCAUACAUUGACACGUAAUAAACAUUUAUGAGUAUUUGAAAAAUAUUCAAAUAUAUGUUCUUCAGCAAGUAGCUUGCAUAUCGUUAGCCCCUAAAAAUGUCAAAACGAAAAUUUGUACAGAGCUAGAAGCCUCUCGAGUUUUGGGGAAAACCUGGACAAUCACGCAAGAAAAAUUGAAGGCAUUUCUUGCAAUAUUGUACGCACGUGGGGCAUACGAAGGAAAUACUUUGAGACUUCAAUAUUUGUGGAAUAAAAAAUAGGGACCAUAAUUUUUUUCUAGCACUAUGAGUAGACGAGAUUUUACAGAUAUUUUACGAUACAUCCGGUUCGAUAAAAGAAAUCAGAGGAGUCAACGUUUGCAAACAGACAAGUUCGCUUUAGUCUCAGCAGUUUGGGAUAAAUUUAUUGAAAACAGUCAAAAUUGCUUCAAACCGGGAGCUUCUAUUACUGUGGAUGAGCAACUUUUUCCAACGAAGGCCAGAUGCAGAUUUACUCAGUAUAUGCCAAACAAACCCCAUAAAUUUGGCAUCAAAUUUUGGUUAGCGUCUGAUGUAGAAACAAAAUAUGUGGUAAAUGGCUUUCCAUAUUUAGGAAAAGACGAGACUCGAAAUGCAUCAACUCCCCUAAGCGAAUUUGUCGUAAUGAAACUUCUUGAACCGUACACCAUGAAGGGUAGAACUGUAACAAUUGAUAAUUUUUUUACAAGUAUUCCUUUGGCGUUGAAAUUACGAUCUAAAAACACUUCGUUACUUGGAACAAUACGCGCAAACAAGAGGGAACUGCCGAAAAUUUGCAAACUGAAAAAAUACAGCAUGGCACGUUUCUCGACGUUGUUGUACCAAUCUAAUGGAUGCACACUUACUGUUUAUAAGAGCAAACCAAAUAAAAAAGUACUUUUACUAAGUACAAAACAUAAAAACAUCAAAAUUGAUAAAGCAGCUAAAAAAAUACCUGAAACUGUAUUGUUUUAUAAUAAAACUAAAUUUGGCGUCGAUGUGACUGAUCAAAUGGCACGAAAAUAUACGGUGAAGUCUGGUUGCAGAAGGUGGCCACUUCAAGUGUUUUUCAAUAUUUUAGAUUUAGCCGGAAUAAAUAGCUGGAUAUUAUACAAACACACAACAGGAGAAAAUAUCUCACGGAAAGACUUUCUGUUUCGAUUAGCAGAAGAACUUGCUUCAGAAUAUCAGACUUCAAGGCAAAAACCACACGAAGCUGAUAUAUCGACUACCGCUGCACGGUUUCUGUGCGCAAAUGGUGUCAAAUAGGAUAUUACAAUAACAAUAAGACUACAAAUAUUUGCAAUAAAUGCAAGAAAAGUCUAUGCGGAAAGUGUACAAAAAGCAAAAUCUACAUCUGUAGAAAUUGUGAGCGAUAAACUGUAAAAAUUAAGUGUUUUGUUAUUUGACAAUGUCCAUAAAUCCAUUUUUGUAUAAAAAUUAAUAUUGUUGAAUUCUUUUUACCAUUUUUGGAGUUUACUCCUUAAGAAUCGAUUUACAUAUAUAGGCCCGGGGUAUGAAAAUUAUGGGGACCAAAAUCGUACUAGAGAGUAUAGCAUGUCACACGAAAUGCGUUAUGCGCUAUAGUCUGACCAUUCCCCACCACACGGUAUGCUCGGCUCCAUGUACUUGUAUAUGUUUAGUAUAUAUCUGUGUGUGUAUAAUAGUAGAGAAAUUAUUAUGGUGACUGUUUAUAUUUCGGUCAAUACGAAUGUUACUGAUAUAAUAGAUUUUCUCCACGAAGCAUUGCUAGUAUACACAGAAGGGGGUUCGAAACUAUUAAGAAAACGCUAUCAUGAACUUCCGCUUAUACUUGGUGGAGAUUUUAAUAUUGACUUUAAUAAAGAAGAUGGUUUCCGGUUGAUACAAUUCCUUAAAGACGAAUUAAACUUAGAUUUAAUUUCUGGAAGAACACUGGGAACAACUAGAUAUGAUACCACUAUUGAUGCGAUGUUUUCGCGAUUUAUUACACAUAUAUCGUCCGACGUCCAUGUAUCGUAUUUUAGUUACCACAAACCGAUCGUCUCAGUAUUCAAUGAUGUUGAUAUUGUUCCUGGAAUAAAUACACCGCAAGGUGAUGUAAAUAGUGAAUAAAAUCAAUCUUGCUCAACAUUCUAUUAUAUUAAAUUAUUAUUGUUUAUAUUUUUUUUCAUGGCUUCCUUAUGUAUGUCAAAAAAUUUAUUGUAUAAUUAAUAGAAUAAAAAUCUACCGUGCAUAAUCUAAGUAUCAUCAAAAAUGCAUUCAUUUAUACCCGUAUUCCCUUAUCUAUUUAUUUAUUUAUUUUAUAAUCGUUCUUGAGGAGUAAACUCCAGUCGUGCGUCGGAGCGGACACACACACUUUUUUUAAGAGUGAAUAAAGACUGGAAACUCAGUUAAGCAUUUUUUUAUACACCAGUCAUAUUGACUGGUUAUGGUAGAAAUACGUAUAUUUAAAUGGCUGGUAAAUCUAGUGUUAAUAAGUACUCUGUAGACGAAAUGGCAGCACAACAUGGGAUCACGGUUUUAAGACUGCCCCCUUACCAUUGCGAACUAAACCCUAUCGAAUUGAUAUGGGCGCAGAUAAAGGGGCAUGUAGCUCGAAAUAAUAAAACCUUCAAAUUGACAGACGUGAGAAAUUUAUUUCAGGAAGGCAUUAAAAUAAUUACGGCUACCGAAUGGUCUAAAUGCGUAUCCCAUGUUGCCAAAGAAGAGGAAAAAAUGAGUAGGUUAGAUGUGUUAAUUGACAAUAUUACAGACACAUUUAUAAUAAAUGUUACAGAAAGUGACAGCGAUAGCGAUGACGGCGACAAUUUAUAAAAUAAAAUAUUACCAUAAUACAUCUAUCUGUUUUAUUUCUCAUGUUCUUUCAUGAUCAAAUUUUUUUAUUUAUUUCACACACAAUUAAUAAAGAAAACUCUCAGAUCGUUAAUUAAUCGUCAAAACUAAAUAAUCGGUUCAGAAAUAUUUAAUUUCCUGAUAUGUUUAGUUUACGAGAAUAAAAUUAUAAACGAGAAAAAUCGAUCCGGAAAUAUUCCAUUUCCAUAUUAAUAACAAAGUUUUAAUUUAAAACCGUUAACUUACAGUUCCCUGGACCAAAUUUAGAAUCAUUUCAGUAUAUGUAUUUCUUAACAUAAAUAUUUCAUUUUUAUUCAAAUUACAAUUUUCUUAAAAGCAGAGGGUACUCGGGACUUAGGCUUGAUCGUAGAUGAUAAAUUGGACUAUCAUCAGCACAUCAUUCGUACAUGUAAGAGCGCCAAUAAAGCCUUAGGAUUUAUAAUGCGCGCAGGUUCAGUUUCAGUGUCACUGUCUCUAUUGUCCUAUAUUAUGCUUUGUACGUAGCAAGCUGGAAUAUAAUUGCAUUAUUUGGGAUCCUCGGGAGUCAAAAUACAAUAUGCUCAUAGAGAGAGAGAGAGAGUUCAGCGUAAGUUUGCUCGGUACUUGUAUAAGAGGUUAUAUGGUUAUUAUCCGUUUUUGUUUCCGUCGCUUUUUGUGUCAGGUAUGGUUGGACUGGAUACCCUAAACCACAGGCAAAAGUUGCAUCUACUCGUACAUUACUGUUCUUUAUUACAGAAUAGAGUCAAUAAUCCCGUGGCACUACGCAAAUGACACUAUUCGUCCCGGAACAGUAUGCGCGGGCGGGAGUGCGCCGCCACCACCACUUACGAGGGCUGCACUAAAAGUAUCGGGAAUGGAAUAUUUCCACUGUUCCUGUCAUAUUAAAAUCUUUUUAAUUGAAAACUCCUUGGUUUUAAAAAUCGAAUACCAUUUAUUUAUUUAAAAAAAGAUUCUCGGUCUUGUCACGAGGUUUUGUCAAACUUGUUUAGUCGUUGAGAAAAUUAAAUUGACUCGAGAAAAUUCAAGAGCGAUGAUUUAUUAUGACUUUCGAAGUGGUUUAACACAAAAACAGUGUGUUGACCGGAUGAUUUCUGCAUUUGGUGAUGAAGCCCCAUCCAAAACCACAAUUUAUCGCUGGUUUGCUGAGUUUCAACGUGGACGUGUCAGGCUCAGUGAUGAUCCCCGUCAAGGUCGUCCAAAAACUGCAGUCACCCAAGAAAACGUUGAUGCUGUGCGUAAGCUGAUUGAGGAAGAUCGACAUGUGACAUACCGCGAAAUUCAGGCAACUUUAGACAUUGGCAUGAGUCAAAUAAAAAUAAUCUUGCAUGAACAAUUAGGUGUAAAAAAGUAGUUUUCCCGAUGGAUACCGCAUUCGCUCUGUGAAGAGCAAAAAGCGGCUCGCGUUACUUGGUGCGUCAGAACUCUCGAAAGAUUCAACGCAGGAUCCUCAAACGCUGUAUACGACAUUGUAUCAGGUGAGGAUCUUGGAUAUACGCGUACGAACCCGAAACAAAAAACUUCAGAGGUGUCAAGGGACACCCGGAUGGAACGAAGUUCCUUUCGAUUAAUUAGUGAAGGAAUUGUAAUUUUUUUUUUAAGUUAUAAUAAUAAAUUACGGCAUUAUGAAGAAGAAGAAAACAAUACUAUGAACUAAAUUACUAUUGUUGAAACGCUAUCUCGAGACACUGUACUCAUUACGCGGACCAAUCGGAUACGAGCAAUGUCACGCGAUAAGCGUCUACACGAUGAUUGGUCAGAAUGACGGAUCUAAAAAGUGUCGUGACAACUUUUCGUAAGAAUUUUUUCCGUCUAGCCCCCUUUCACAACGCGCGAUAAGGAACUUCGUUCCAAAAACCGGUCACGAGUUUGGGUGUUCGAAAAUGAGUUAAAGCCAACAAAAAUUGUUCGUUCACGGAGUGUUGCAAAAAAAAUGGUGGCCACGUUUGUCUCCGAAACCGGCCAUGUUACGAGUAUUCCUCUUGAGGGACAAAUAACGGUUAAUGCAGAAUGGUAUGCUAGAAUUUCUUUGCCACAGGUCGUUUCUGAACUCCGUAAAGAGUACUGCAACCGCCGCAUCAUCCUCCAUCACGACAAUGCGAGUUCUCACACCGCGCACAGAACAAAAGAGUUUUUAGAGCAAGAAAACAUAGAAUUAUUAGACCAUCCGCCGUACAGCCCCGACCUAAGCCCUAAUGAUUUUUAUACUUUCCCUAAAAUAAAGAAUAAAUUGCGUGGACAGAGAUUUUCAUCACCUGAAGAAGCUGUGGACGCCUACAAAACGUCCAUUUUGGAGACCCCAACUUCCGAAUGGAAUAGUUGCUUCAAUGAUUGGUUCCAUCGUAUGGAAAAAUGUGUCAAAUUUCGCGGAGAAUACUUCGAAAAGCAAUAAAUACAUUUUUAAAUAG